rnacentral:tRNA from 1 species
AUUCAAAUAGCUUAUAUUUAGAGCAUAGCACUGAAGAUGCUAGGGAGAUAAUAAUUACUAUCUUUGAAUA